GACGAACGCUGGCGGCGUGCCUAAUACAUGCAAGUUGAGCGCUGAAGGUUGGUACUUGUACCAACUUGAUGAGCAGCGCACGGGUGAGUAACGCGUGGGGAAUCUGCCUUUGAGCGGGGGACAACAUUUGGAAACGAAUGCUAAUACCGCAUAAAAACUUUAAACACAAGUUUUAAGUUUGAAAGAUGCCAUUGCAUCACUCAAAGAUGAUCCCGCGUUGUAUUAGCUAGUUGGUGAGGUAAAGGCUCACCAAGGCGAUGAUACAUAGCCGACCUGAGAGGGUGAUUGGCCACACUGGGAGUGAGACACGGCACAAACGGCUACGGGAGGCAGCAGGAGGGAAUCGUCGGCAAGGGACGAAAGUCUGACCGAGAAACGCCGAGGGAGGGAAGAAGGUUGUCGGAUCGGAAAACUCGGUUGGUAGAGAAGAACGUUGGUGAGAGUGGAAAGAUCAUCAAGUGACGGUAACUACUCAGAAAGGGACGGCUAACUACGUG
rnacentral:rRNA from 1 species